rnacentral:rRNA from 1 species
GAUCCUGGCUCAGGAUGAACGCUGGCGGCGUGCUUAACACAUGCAAGUCGAACGAAGCACUUAAGAUUGAUUCUUCGGAUGACGUCUUUUGUGACUUAGUGGCGGACGGGUGAGUAACGCGUGGGUAACCUGCCUCACACAGGGGGAUAACAGUUAGAAAUGACUGCUAAUACCGCAUAACCCGAUAGGAUCGCAUGAUCCAGACGGAAAAGAUUUAUCGGUGUGAGAUGGACCCGNGU